rnacentral:lncRNA from 1 species
AAUGGCAAACCACUCCAGAAUCUUUGCCAAGAAAAUUCCAAAUGGGGUCAGACAUACAUAACUGAAAAUAACGGAACAACAACAGUCCACCCCCACUGCCAAUGCUAGAAUCUUAUACUCUAUGCAGCCAAAAGUGAUAGAGUAUAUUCUUAAAUCAGAAACUCUCUGGGUGACCUCCCUCAUAAGCAGAAUGCCAUUUGUGGUCAGAUCUUGAACCAGACUAACUGAACUAGACUCACUCAUCUGUCGCUGAGAUUACAAAAUGCAGCCUAUGAUACAAGGAUUCCACCAGGACAGUAGAUCUGACAGAAGAAGGCAGUCUGUUUUCAUUUCAUUAAAUUCUGCAUUGGAGAAUGGACUAGGCAACCAGCUGUUAAUAUGCAAAGACCAGGGAGAAACAAGUCAGCAUUCCAGAAGCAGAGAGGAAGAUAGCAGAUGCAAAGGGUCUGGAGUCUUGGACCUGGAGAUUGGCCAGAAGCAAGAGACACUAACAGUGCCUGUAUUUGGAAAGAUUUGCUUUAAAGACCCAGAGCUGCCUGGUUCUUGAAGGAGCUUGACAAGUCAGCUCUGAUAGUGAUAACAAAGUCUACUCCCAAAACAACAUCUCUUUUCCCUGGAGAGCAAUCUGACACACAGAAUUAUUG